UACGAAGGGGCUAGCGUUGUUCGGAUUUACUGGGCGUAAAGCGCACGUAGGCGGAUCGUUAAGUCGGGGGUGAAAUCCUGGAGCUCAACUCCAGAACUGCCUUCGAAUACUGGCGAUCUUGAGUCCGGAAGAGGUGAGUGGAACUCCUAGUGUAGAGGUGGAAUUCGUAGAUAUUAGGAAGAACACCAGUGGCGAAGGCGGCUCACUGGUCCGGUACUGACGCUGAGGUGCGAAAGCGUGGGGAGCAAACAGG
rnacentral:rRNA from 1 species